GAGUGUGUGGUGUAGUGGUUUGAGCACUAGACUAUGACUCUGAACUUCAGGAAUCGAACCCUGACUCAGCCA